rnacentral:rRNA from 1 species
AACGAACGCUGGCGGCAUGCCUAACACAUGCAAGUCGAACGAGACCUCCGGGUCUUGGGGCGCACGGGUGCGUAACGCGUGGGAACCUGCACUUAGGUUCGGAAUAACUCCCCGAAAGGGAUGCUAAUACCGGAUAAUGUCUUCGGACCAAAGAUUUAUCGCCUUUGGAUGGGCCCGCGUUGGAUUAGCUGGUUGGUAGGGUAAUAGCCUACCAUGGCGACGAUGCAUUGCUGGUCUGAGAGGAUGAUCAGCCACACUGGGGCUGAGACACGGCCGAGACUCCUACGGAAGGGAGCAGUGGGGAAUAUAGGACAAGGGGGGAAGGCAUGAUCCAGCAAUGCCGGGUGAGUGAUGAAGGCCUUAGGGUUGUAAAGUUCUUUUACCCGGGAUGAUAAUGACGGUACCGGGAGAAUAAGCUCCGGCUAACUCCGUG